GUUUCUCUUCAGAUCAUAUAAAUCUUUCACCUUUUACUAAAGAUUUCUAUGGAGAGGAACAGAAA
rfam:Colius striatus contig22900, whole genome shotgun sequence.